ACGGAGGACCCAAGCGUUAUCCGGAUUCAUUGGGUUUAAAGGGUGCGUAGGCGGAAUGAUAAGUCAGUGGUGAAAUCCUUCAGCUUAACUGGAGAACUGCCAUUGAUACUGUCAAUCUUGAGUACAUUUGAUGUGGGCGGAAUGUGUCAUGUAGCGGUGAAAUGCUUAGAUAUGACACAGAACACCGAUUGCGAAGGCAGCUCACAAAACUGUAACUGACGCUGAGGCACGAAGGCUAGGGGAGCGAACGGGA
rnacentral:rRNA from 1 species